AAUGGGGGAAACCCUGAUGCAGCAACGCCGCGUGAAGGAUGACGGUUUUCGGAUUGUAAACUUCUUUUCUUAGUGACGAAGACAGUGACGGUAGCUAAGGAAUAAGCAUCGGCUAACUACGUGCCAGCAGCCGCGGUAAUACGUAGGAUGCAAGCGUUAUCCGGAUUUACUGGGUGUAAAGGGAGCGCAGGCGGGACUGCAAGUUGGAUGUGAAAUACCGUGGCUUAACCACGGAACUGCAUCCAAAACUGUAGUUCUUGAGUGAAGCAGAGGCAAGCGGAAUUCCGAGUGUAGCGGUGAAAUGCGUAGAUAUUCGCAGGAACACCAGUGGCGAAGGCGGCUUGCUGGGCUUUAACUGACGCUGAGGCUCGAAAGUGUGGGGAGCAAA
rnacentral:rRNA from 1 species